GUCUUGGAGGAUCAAGGUGAUCGUUCCGUUCAGAUGACUCGACGCAGUGAAAGCGUUCAACGCGGAAAGGCGAGGGUUCGACUCCCUCCAAAGACG